UGCGCAGUUCGUCAUCAAUGGUUUAAACUA
rnacentral:piRNA from 1 species